CCGUAGCCAGGGCGGCCCUACGGGGGAGGCCUGGACACCCCCAGCCAGCGGUGGGGUGCUCAGCAAAAACACUGGCAGCU
rnacentral:sRNA from 1 species